CCAAGUCGGUUGGUCUCUGACCCGCUUCGUUUCUCUUUCUUACCACAAGAUAUAAAACUCUGGAAACAAAAAUUUCGGGGUCCAAUUGCGGCCAUUUCUGCUAUACAGAAAACAGAAAUCUGAGAUUGAGAGAGAGAGAGAGAGAGAGGCUGUAUUAUGUAUGAAAACGUUUGAGUCAUCUUCACUGGUGGAAGAGUCGACCAUGGACGACACCACCACUUCAUCUAAACCAAAACUAGAACUCAACUCUCUCUCCAAAAGCAACAACAAGAAGCCCCUCCCUGGAGGAUCGAACAACUGCGAGGAUGGAGGAGGAGAUGAUGAAGAUGACAUUGAGGAGGAAGAGUGUGACAAGGAGGUUUGGAAUACGCUUUGCAAGAGUUUCAGGCAGGUGCAGUCCGUGUUGGAUCAGAACAGGGACCUUAUUCAUCAAGUGAACGAGAAUCACCAGUCCAGGAUUCCCGAUAAUAUGGCGAAGAACGUUCCAUUGAUUCGAGAGAUUAAUCGAAAUAUCUCGAAAGUCAUCUCUAUUUACUCCGAUUUAUCGGUCAAUUUCUCCAACGUCGUGCAGGAACGGCGUCGCAUCAAUAACGGAAGCAGUGUGGAGAGGACGGACUGUUGAUUCGAUCGAUGAAUUUAAGUAAUCUCGACCAACUUUGUUUAUCUUAUAGUCAAUUAAUAAGCAGUUUAACUGAGGUCGUGUCAUGGUCAUAUUGGAGUCAAAGGUGUUUGGUUUUAUUGAGUCUCUGUUUCCUAGGUCCUUCUUAAGUAAGGCAGUCUUUCAGGUGGUAGCGGUGGCCGCUGGGGUUGAUAACAAUAAUGUUUUGCUUAUGUGGUGAUUAUUGUUAUGUUUGUUUGUGUUUUGUAAGGAUCAUUUCAUGGCUGCGGGUCUGCUUAUAUCUCCAUUAUCUGAAACCCCCGCAGAAGUAAUAAGAACUUUCAACAUAGGCCUGAUGAGACAUUUGAGUUGAAUGGUUCUAUAUUGUUGUUAUUUAGGCUGCUCUAUUUCAUCCUAAACAGGGGAGUUCAUAGUUCAUAUGAGUAAAUGCAGAAUUGUAUUCACUGCCAGAGGCUUAGUUCAUUUGUAUGUAAUGCCGGUAGAAGAGUAGAAAGAGAGGGACGCCACAACUAUUAUAUACAGUCAACUGUAGAUUGGCAGUCCAUUAUACUAGCAUGAGCCAACUCUAAUCUCCUAGUCUUGCUGUCGUUGGACUACUGCAGUAACGCAAAUGGCAGUAGCAAAUCCACUUGUUAGAUUAUAUUACCUUUCAUGACUCUGAUGGGUGAUAAUUGCCCCUGACAAAUGUAGUGAGGCAGAAUGAAUUUAUCAUUUGAGCAUCUUUAAGUAGGCCUUCUUUGGCAAGCUUGAGAGUGCCCGCUGUUUGUUUUACAAAAGUUGGGCAGGGUGAAUUAACUAUAUUUCUAGGUGAAACUUGUUGUAGAAUCAAUGGGGUUUGGGGAAGGAAAGCAGUUGCUAUUGAUACGGGGCAGAGCUGGACUAGGAGAGGAAAAUAAUGGUGAUAGCUAGUUAUUGAUUCAAGGUGAAUUAGUGGCUGGUGAAGGGAGGAAAUAAUUGUUAUAUAAGUGGAAAAAUAAGCUUAAUAGUCCUAACAUUAUUCUAAUGUUUUUUUUUGGGCAAUGAAGACUGGCUGACAUCUGGUGGUGAGGGGGGAUAGGGUUAUCGUUGCCUGGCAUGAAUUUUUUUUCUUUCUUUCUUUGAACUUGCCAUUAGCUUUGAAAUUGAGACCCAUAUAUGUUGUGGGUUCCACCAACUGUUCAAGACAACUACUUUACUAGAUGAGGAAGGCACUCAUAUAUCAUCCUUCAAAGACAUUUCUGCAGUUUCUUAUGACUAUCUUCUUAUUGUAAUCUUAAAUUCUGCUUUAAAUGAAACAUUAACUACUUGAUUUAUUUGCAAGAAGGAUAUUUUGCUGGAUAAUGUUGAGCAAUGAUGUCGUCCUUUCCUCCUGUCAAUUGAAUUAGUCUGCUUCCUAUUUGGAGGUUAAUCUUUGUUAGGAUGUCGAUUUGACUACCUGAGUUCUAGCUGCUUCUUUCUUCCCAGUCCUUUGAAAAAUGAACAAUUUGGAAACACAGGUAGAAGACAAAAAGGAUAACUGAAUGACAACUUCUAAUUGUUUUAUGUUAGCUGAUUAUGCAAAAGUAGUGCGAUUUUGUUUUUUAGUGAGAGAAGCAGAGUAUCACACAUUCGAUCUUUGACUGGAAAUCUCAACAGAGUUAAUAUAAUGUUGAUGUCAAGUGUCUGCAUCUGUGUUGUUAUGUAUGGAUUUCUCGCCGAUUUCAUUUUUAAAGCAAUCAAGUGUUAGCAUAUUCAAGUGAUGACGACUCUUGUGAGCUUUGCACUUAAGGGGAAUGAAUUGGGGUGAAGCUAUAGUUGACGGUUGCGGAUAAAAAGGCAAAUUAUUUUUGAGAAUGUUUCUUUUCAGGCUCUCACCAACUUUGACUUUCCAUGUUAUGUUGCUUCUUUCGGUUUCUGGCUUUUGGAAUAAGAGUAAGGAAGGAAAUACGAGCAGUGUUUCAAGCUUUUUCUAUCUGUUGUUUGGUUUAAAUAGGUUAGGAUUGAAAUUUCAGAAAUGCCAUACGUUUAUGCUUUUAGUUUUUUUAUCUUAUCUACGAAAAUAUUAAAUAAAAAUUCUCGCUUAUACUUA